UCUGUGGCUGUUCUGGUUGGCUCUGCUUGGAGCACAGUCUGGUAUUUUCCAUGUCUGGGUGUUCCCAGAUGCCACCUGGGGUCUAAGCAAACUUUUGUCCUGAACCCCAAAUACCAUAGAAGCUGCACAAGAGCUAGCAGCCAUUCAGACGAUCCCCUGAUGGCCUCUUCUGGACAUUUAUGAGUAUGGUUUUAUUUUAUUAUGAAAGUAAUACACACUCCUGGUGAAAAUUUCCAAGAGAACAGAAAGGUACUAAGUGCAAAGUGUCCCUGGCUCAUCCCCAGAAGAAACUACCUAUUGCCCACAGUAUCUUGUGUCACCUUCCAGAAAUGUUCUCCGUGAAUGGAAACCCGAGUGAACAAAGCAUAGAAGCCCAAAUAAAUGGUCACAACAGCUUCCA